rnacentral:rRNA from 1 species
GACGAACGCUGGCGGCGUGCCUAAUACAUGCAAGUCGAGCGAGACUCUUCGGAGUCUAGCGGCGGACGGGUGAGUAACACGUGGGCAACCUGCCUGUAAGACUGGGAUAACACCGGGAAACCGGUGCUAAUACCGGAUAAUCCUUUUUCUCUCAUGAGGAAAAGCUGAAAGUCGGUUUCGGCUGACACUUACAGAUGGGCCCGCGGCGCAUUAGCUAGUUGGUGAGGUAACGGCUCACCAAGGCGACGAUGCGUAGCCGACCUGAGAGGGUGAUCGGCCACACUGGGACUGAGACACGGCCCAGACUCCUACGGGAGGCAGCAGUAGGGAAUCUUCCACAAUGGACGAAAGUCUGAUGGAGCAACGCCGCGUGAGCGAUGGAGGCCUUCGGGUCGUAAAGCUCUGUUGUUAGGGAAGAACAAGUAUCGGAGUAACUGCCGGUACCUUGACGGUACCUAACCAGAAAGCCACGGCUAACUACGUGCCAGCAGCCGCCGUAAGAC